rnacentral:lncRNA from 1 species
AUGGAAGGGCUUCUUCAAGCUGGUUCUUCAUAUUUUUAUUACAAGUAAGUUCAAUUCUUGACUAUUUCUUGAAAUUUUUGUAUUUUUAUGACUUUUACAACUAGGCCCACUUGUUAAAUUCAUUAGUUUUUGAUUUUAUGAAAGAAGUUGAAAGUUGAUAUGAAUAUGUGCUGGAAGUAUAUGAUGAUUUAGCAUGAAAUUAGAGCUUUAAAUUGUUCAUAUGCUGAUUUUAUUGAAAGAAUUGAAUAGAAAGUGAAUGUUUGGGACCUAAUAGUAAAAGAGUUUGAAGAUAGAGUUAUAUGUGGAAAUUCUGAAUUUCAAUAGUUGUGUAACAACUUAUAAUGUCUAGUAAAGUACUAAUUGAGAAAAUUAUAUUAAUUGAGGGGUUAAUUGAGAAAGGACCGAAUUGUAUAAACUGUGAAAUUUGGGGCAAAAUGGAAAUCAACAUUUUGCACUAAAGCAGUUUUGGACAGCAGCAGUAGUGUAACUUUGAAAAAUCACCAAAAAUUGUAGAGAUUGAAUUAGAGGAUGAAUAAAAUAUGAAAUUAAAGCUUAUUGAGUCUAGUUUCUUAUAAAAGAAAUGAUGUGAGCAAUGGAAUUGUAAAUCAUGAGAUAUAAUAGAUUUUGUGAGACAAGGUCAGAAUGAAUUCGGGUUCCCCUGUUCUGACUUUGGAAAAUCAUUAAAAAUUGUACAGAAAUUAUUAUGAGUUAUAGUUUAUAUGGUUAGAAUCCUUAAUGAGUCUAUUUUUAUAAGAAACAAGCUAAAACAUCAUCCGAAUUCUGUACAAUGAGAUAAUUAAUUUUUAGAGAAGAGUGGUCGGAACUGUCAGACAGCGAAACAGGGGAAACUUUAAAGAAUAAACUGUACUAUUUGGCUGAACCAAAAAUUAUGAAAAUUUUAUGGUAUGAAGAUAUGUGAGUCUAGUUUCAGGGAAAAUUAACGGAUCUUAAUUUGGAGCUCUGUAGCUCCGGAUAAAAAUAAUUUAGUGACUCUGACUCGGAUAAACAGCUUUGAAUAUACAUGUUAGUGAAUAUUGAAAUUAUGGUUAAUGUUGUUUAAGUGUGUUAUACACAUUAAGGAUGUGGAAUGGAGAGGAGGAGGAGGAAAAUUGGGAAAUAUAUGAAUGAUUCGUGUAUAAAUGGUCAUAUGUUUGAUUAUAACUCAUAAACGAUGAAAUAUGAAUGAUGCUUAUUUUUGUGCAUUAUUGGUCAUGGUUUAAGCUCAUGUGUGAAAAUAAAGUUUCAUAGUAUGUGUGUAUGGUAUAUUCAGUAUAUGAUUUGGCAUGAAAUAAUACCAUGAAUGGUUUAUGAAUUAACACAUGUUGGUAAGCCUGAUAUAUGAAUAAAUGAUCAAAUUGAGCGGAACGCCGGAUUUGAGUACUUCUGAUCAAGUGAUAAAGUGAUAAGUGGUAGCUUUAGCUACACUUAUCUGAUCAAGUGACAAGUGGAAAGUGAUAAGUAAUAGCUUCGGCUAUACUUAUCUGAUCAAGUGAUAAAGUGAUAAGUGAUAGCUUCGGCUAUACUUAUCUGAUCAAGUGACAAAGUGAUAAGUGAUAGCUUCAGCUACACUUAUCUGAUCAAGUGACAAGUGGAAAGUGAUAAGUGAUAGCUUCGGCUACACUUAUCUGAUCAAGUGACAAGUGAAAAGUGAUAAGUGAUAGCUUCGGCUAUACUUAUCUGAUCAAGAGACAAAGUGAUAAGUGAUAGCUUUAGCUACACUUAUCUGAUCAAGAGACAAAGUGAUAAGUGGCUACACUUAUCUGAUCAAGAAACAAAGUGGUAAGUGGCUACACUUAUCUGAUCAAGAAACAAAGUGAUAAGUGGCUACACUUAUGUGAUCAAGAAACAAAGUGAUAGGUGGCUACACUUAUCUGAUCAGGGACAAGUGAUAAGUGAUCAUACGUAAGACCAUAGUUAUACUAUGGCAAAGUGAAAGUGAAGUACUCAAUUUUCCGUGACCGUUCCCUAAUUUGAUUAAAGAUGGUAAGUGACAAAUGGGCCCAAAAGAAUUAAAGUAAAUGGAUAAGUGGUAGUGUAUUUAUAUCAGGACGAUGUUGUUAUUCAAACUAAAGUGAUAUUUUCAUUGCUAAAUUGAGAAUUUCAUAAAUGUGUUAUUGAAUGGUAUAAUCAAUAAACAUUGAGUUAAAUGGUAAAUACGUAUUAGUUUUGAAUUUGAUGUCAUUGAAUUGUACGUGAAUUAAAUGGAAAUUUCUAGUGAUAUGAUUUAAAUUAUGAGCAUGAGAAAUUGCGAAUUGAAUGAAAUGGAAAUGAAGCAUUAAAUUGCAUGAGUAUGUAUCGGGUCUCGCAGGCCCUAAUUAUUAUGAUUAUAAUAUUUUAAGGAUAUAUUGUGAAAAGUUAUAGAAACAUGUUAAUUAUUUUUGAAAGUUUUAAUUUUGAUGAAAUUUUAUAACUCGGUUAAAUACGUUUACAAGUGUAUGUGUUUUGGUAAUGCCUCGUACCCUAUUCCGGUGUUGGAUACGGGUAAGGGGUGUUACAUUUAGUGGUAUCAGAGCUACGGUUUAGUCGGUUCUCGGACCAAACGUAGCAUAUGUGAGCCUAGCUAUACAUGCCACGUUAUUACUCUUGAUGAUGUGAUAUCUCCGGGCUCUAACGAAAUUGCUUUGUUAAGACAGAGAUGAUUUUCAAUCGAGCUAUUUUCGAUAAUGUUAAAAAUGAUAUUGAGAUAAAUGAAAUAUGCUCACAUUAUGUUGGAAUUUGGAAAGGUAAGUAUAAAAAUUUGUGAUAUGGAUGUGUUCAUGUAUGAAAAGAGAUGACUAUAAGUUAAAAAAAAAAAAGUUUAUGUUGUGAUAAGCUCAUCCAAGUAUGUUGGUGAUUAUAUAAUGCUAUGUGCUCAACAUAUUUGAUUAAGUGAAUAUGAUAAGCAAAUUUACUUAAAUAGAUGGAACGUGUGUAUGUACAUCUGCUUGAAUAAGUGAAAUUAGUAUGUUCAUAUGAUAGAAUCUUAUGUUUAAUUGUUAAAUUAAAGAUAAUAAGAUAUUUUGUUUUAUGUCUAAACCAUGAAUAUUAUAAUAGUAUGAAAAAUUGAAUUGGAAGUCAAAUUGAGUAGAACGCAGGAAUGAGUACUUUCGUUCAGUGAUAUGUGAUGAAUUGACGGAAAAGACCAUGGUUUGACCAUGGCAACAUGUGAACAUGUGAUUAUGUGAUUCCGUGUAAGACCAUAGCUGGGCUAUGGCAUCGGUAAGUGAUAUGUGAUUCCGUGUAAGACCAUAGCUGGGCUAUGGCAUCGGUAAGUGAUAUGUGAUUUCGUGUAAGACCAUAGCUGGGCUAUGGCAUCGGUAUGUGAUUUGUGAUUACGUGUAAGACCAUAGUUGGACUAUGGCAUCGAGAAAACGAAGUACUCAAUUCCGUAAGACGUUCUCUAAUUUGGCAAAUAUCGGUAAGUAAAAUAGAAGCCAAGUAUUGGAAUUUAAUUAGAUAUUAACAUUGAGCUUGAGUAAGUAAAUUCGUUGUGUGAAAUUGUGAGUGACAGAAAACAUUUGUAAUAAAUAGAUGUGUUAAUUUGCUUGGAAUGAAUUACGUGGUUUUGAUGGUAUUACAUUGAUGAUGAAUACAAAAUCAUAUAUAUAUGUAUCUAUGAGAGCAAGUUGAAAGAUUUAUGACUUCACCAUCACCCCCUUAUCAGAGCUGAAAUUCUGAUUCCUAAAGGUUGUAAACUAGUUUAAGUUGAUAGAAUAAAAUGUUAAUUGAGAAAAACCAGCUCAAUUGAGAGGCUAAUUGAGUAGGGAUGAAAUUAUCAUUUAUUAAAAGCUUAGGGGAAAAAUAGUAAUAAACAGCUUGCACAAAAACAGUUUGGACAGCAGCAGUAGACUAACUUUUAAAAAUCACCAUAAGUUGUAGAAAUCGAAUUAUAAGAUGACAAAAAUAUAGAAUUAAAGCUUAUUGAGUCUAGUUUCUCAUAGAAGAAAUAGUGUAAGCAAUGGAUUUGUAAAUUUUGAGAUAUAAUGAAUUUUGUGAGACAAGAUCAGAAUUAAUUCGGGUUCCCCUGUUCUGACUUUGAAAAAUCAUAAAAAAAUUUAAGAAAAACAAUUAUGGGCUUAAAUUUAUAUGUCUAGAAUCCUUAAUGAGUCUAUUUUUAAGAGAAACAAACGAGAACAUUAUUUGAAUUCUGUAUGAAGAGAUAAUUAAUUUUUAGUGAAGAAGGGUCAGAACUGUCGACAGCAGAACAGGGGUGAGUUUAAAGAAUAAACUGUACUUAUUGGAUAAACCAAAAAUUCUGAAAAUUUUAUUGUAAAAAUAUAUAUGAGUCUAGUUUCAGGGAAAAUUAACGGAUCUUAAUUUGGAGUUCCGUAGCUCAAGUUUUAAAUAAUUUAGUGACUAUGACUCAGGUAGACAGCUUUUACUGAACUAUAAAUAAUAGUUGAAUUAUAGAGAAUGUUGCAUAUGAACAUGAAAUGUAUUAAAUUGAUAAUUAAAUUUAUUUAUUUAGAUCCGAAAGAUUCAAAUAUGAAGCUAGAUCGAGGAAAGGAAAAAGUUCGGGAUUAGUAGAUUUUUAUUGUUUACAAACAAGUAUCAAGGUAAGUUCAUGUAACUUGAAUUAUAUUCUUAAAUGCUUGAGAUUGUAUGUUAUUUAUGUGAAAAUGAUUUGAAUGUUCAUUGUAUGAAAAUUUAUGAAACAUUGAUAUAUUUGAUAAAAUGGGAAGAAAUCCCGUUUGAAUGAAAGGAAAAUUCGAUGGAUAUCUGAAAAGGAAUUGACGGUAAAAAGGAUCUAGCCCGGACGGGUGAUCCUAUCCUGAUAUAGCCCUCCCGAAGAAUAUGUGUAAAAUGGAUUUAGCCCGGACGGGUAAUCCGAAUUAGGGUUUGAAUUUAGCAUGGACUGGUAAUCCCGACAAUACUCUAUGAGUUUAUAUUGCAAGGGAUUUAGUCUGGACUGGUAAUCCCGCUACAAGGUUGAGGUUCGCGGGUGUGUGCUCUCUGAAAUGGAUAUGUGUGCACAUGAAUAUGAAUUGACGGACCCGGAAUUGUACAAUAAAUGUGUACCUCUGAAAAUCCAUUGAAAUUCCGAUAAAUUCAACGGGAUAAAUAUGGAAAAAUAACAAGGAAAUGGAAAUCAUGGUAUUGACGAGCUCAUCAAUCAUGGUAUAUAUAUUAUUGAUACAUGGAAAUUAUUGUACUAACUUGAAUGUUGAGUUUGUGCAUGUUAGGGUAAUAAUGCAUUGAAUGGAUAUAUGAAUGUUUAUUAUAUUGUAUUGAAAAUAUUAGGUAAGUAUAAUUCUUGUUACUUGAGCUUACUAAGCACAAAGUGCUUACCCCGUUUCCUUUUUCCUUGUUUUGUAGUGUUAUGAGCUCGGAGGUCGGAUUUGGUCGAAGACACAUCACACUGUCAACCUCAGGAUUUCGGUAUAUAAAGAAACUUUAUUUUGGAAAUCAAUGGCAUGUAUAAGCUAACAAAGUAAAUGUUAACGUGAAAUGAAUGUAAAGUUAGCCAUUAGUAUGGUUAACAAACCUGGUUUUAGAUAUGUGAUGACGUUAUCUUAUAAAUAUGCAUGAAUUUAUCUUGAAAAUAUGUUGAAUUGAUUUGGUUGAUGUGGAUUGGUCUCGAUUUAAUAUUGCAAGGAAGGUUAGAUAUUUAUAAAAGGGGCUAUAUUGAAUAUAAAAAAAAAUUAAUUCGUAAACUCCGGUAAUGCCUCGUACCCUAUUCCGGCAAUGAAUACGGGUAGGGGUAUUACAUUUAUUGGUAUCAGAGCUACGGUUUAGCCGGUUCUAGGACCGAUGUAGCAAAUACGGGAUUAGCUAUACAUGCCAUUUAAAUUAUUAUUGAUAGUGUGAUAUCUCCUGACCAUUUAAAAUGUGUUUUUCUUAUAGUAAUGUCAUCCGACCGAGCUCAAUCUGAGGAAGCUGGGAGUCAUGCUCCGGCUUCAGUACAAAGAGAAGAAACUAGUAGUAGAAGGCCCGAGACAGAAGGUC